rnacentral:lncRNA from 1 species
UUUCUCUCUCUAGCCUCCCUCUUGACACAAAAUUGACAUUUCUGGCAACUCAGAACUCUACAAUCAGUACAGUUGAAGGAUCGAUUCCAAGUUCAAUUGGUGCAGUUUUGGUGUUUUGGUAAGUGUUUUCUUCUCAAAUUCUGUUUGUGUGUUAUCACAAACCCUAGUCCCUUCCCCUCUAUGUGCUAUGGAUUCAGGAUUUUAGUUUUUCAUGUUAUUUACAGUGAGUACAUACAGCUUGAAUUAUAAUUUUUUUCAUUUAUGGUAUGUUCAAUCUGUGUAAUUUUUAUGGAGAUGUCACAGGAGUCUUUCAGAUGGUACUUGAAUUGUCAAAAAGAUGAUGCCUUUGUACAACUGAGUUCUCAUCUCAUGCUCGGCGAUUAACAUGUUAGUUUUUUAGUUGAAUGUAACUGGUCCAAAUGGACAUUGAAGAUUCCGGUAGCCAAGCCCCAACUAGUUGGGGAUUGAGGUGCUAGUUGUUGUACUUCGAUUUUUUCUCAAAGUUGGACUAAAAGGUCUAGCUUUAUUUCCAUCUAAACCUGUUGCAUUCUAAUAGGAAACACCAUAAGUUUUCUAUUAUUGGUAGUUUUUAUUAUCAUUACAUGAUUUUACGUGUAGAAACGGAUUAGGAGUUGGGUCAGUAGUCCAGUUCGGAUGGAUAUAUCUGAAUGCUUUAUUCCAUAAGGAGAACUGGUGUUUGUCAAAUAUUGGAGGAAAUGGUUUCUUAUCAGUUUAGCGAGGAGCCUGUCAGUGGAUUUUAGUUCUCUCUAUUGUAUAGGAAGAUCUGGACUUCUCUUUAUUAUCAACUAGAUUCCAUUCGUUUCAUCAACGAAGGUAUCCGCGAUCUAGGAGUGAUUCCUUUAAUGGGUAAUUAUAGGAAUUCUAAGAGGUAGAGUAUGGAUUCUGCUACAUUUACAAAUUCCUCCCUACACCAAAAAGAAAACAGAAGUAUACAGUUAAACAUGAUCUGUUGGAGUGAGUUGGCUUUAUCUUCAAAAUAUUUGUUGUUCCUUCCUUUCCAAACAGACCACCAAAUGCAUGCUGGGAUCAUAUUCAACCACAAUGUCUUCUUGUUCCUCUCAUGCUUCUAUUUCAUCAAUGUAGUAAUUGUAUGGUGUCUCUUGGCAUUACCCAUAUUAGAUCUGGUAAGUUUAGGAAAAUAUGCCAAAGUUCUUAUUUUACCUUAAUGAAUCUAAAGAUGGUUUAUAGAUUUGCUUCCUCCCCACAUAUUAGGCAUCUGCUGCACUAAAGAAGCUCCUUUGCACUGAAAACCAUAUUUACAGCUUGUCAAAAAAGUAAGAAAACUGAAUCUGAAUCCUACCAGGAACCUAGGAUAUUUAUUCAGUUCUUUUAACUAACUUCUUUCUUUAAUAUUUUUAAUUAAUUAAUUAAUUUUGUUUACCAUGAUUUAAGUAAAUUUAUAUAAGGUAAAAAUAUUGUUUCUAAAGUCAUGCAUAUUAGGACUUUUAAUAUAGUUCAAAUAUGGUAAGAUUGAAGAAGCAAAAUUUUAGUCAAUUUUAAAGUACUGAAUAUUAGGAGUUCUUACCUAUUACAAAUAAGCAAAGAUUUAAUAUCUAAAACUUAAAUAAUUUUCGAAGUCCUAAAUAGUAGGAUGAUAUUUAAAUGACGAUUUUUUGAGGAAAAUAGUAAAUGACAGUUUUGUUUGUUGUAAAGUCUUUUAAUGAAGGGAAAAUAGUUAGUAUCUCUACUUUUUUGGUGCAAACAGUUGUGUAUAGUAGAUAUAGAUCAGAUUGUAGAUUUGAUAGGAAGUUUGUAAUUGUCACUUUUUGGUGGUGGCCAACAUGCCCUUAAUGCUGAAGAAUACAACCUUACCAGUUUAAAAAAAAUAAAAAUAGUUCAGAUGUGGAAGUGAAGCUUGACACACUAACUAUCCCUAAGAGAGAUAGUUUCAAGCAUCUUAGGGCUAUAAUUUAAAGAAGUGGGGACAUCGACAAAGAUGUCACACAUUGUAUUGGUGUGGCGUGGUUGAGGUGGAGGCUUGCCUCCGGAGUUUUGUGUGACAAAAAGGUUCCACUUAAGCUUAAAGGUUAGUUCUUUAGAGUGGUGGUUAGACCGAUUCUUUUGUAUGGGAUAGAGUGUAGACCAACAAGAACUAAAAAUGUUUAGAAGGUGCAUAUUAUAGAGAUGAGGUGUUGAGAUGGAUGUGUGGGCAUACUAGGAGCAAUAAGAUUAAGAAUGAGUAUAUUCGAGCAAAGGUGGGAGUGGCCUCAGUGGUGGACAAAAUGAGGGAAGUGAGGUUGAGAUUGUUUGGACAUGUGAAGAGGAGAUGCGUUGAUGCUCCAGUGAGGAGGUGUGAGAGGUUGGAUCUAGCGGGUGCGAGGAAAGGUAGAGGUAUGUUGAAAAAAUUUAGGGAGAGGUUAGUAGACAUGACAUGACACAACUCCAACUUACUGAGGAUAUGGCCUUAGAUAAGAAGGUAGGUGAGGUCGCAGAUUAGGUAGAAGGUUAAUAGAUAUUGGAGUGUUCUCUUGCUUUCCGAAGGGGUUUAGACGUAGUGGUGUCUGUCGUAGUAGUAGCUUUAUUCUUGUAGUGUCUUGCUUUUGCUUUUUACCACCAUCUAUUUUAUGUUGUUUCAAUUAUUGCAUUAUUUUUUUGUUGUUACUGUUUCCAUAGUAGUUGCUAUAUUUUCUGCUCUGUCAUUUUUCCUUUUCAUACUUUCUCAGAUUGUUGUACUCGAGUCGAGGGUUUUUCGGGAACAACCUCUCUACCUCCACGAGGUAGUGGUAAGGUCUAUGUACGCUUUACCUUCCCCAUACCCCACUUGUGGAUUUCUCUGGGUAUGUUAUUGUAGUUGUAAUCACUCUUGGAUGGGGUCCAUGUCACUUAUGCAUUUGGGUGUUGCGUUAGUCCGUGGUAAAACACAUAACUUUUUAACCCUAACUCGGAUUAAUGAGUGGUUUGUUUUUCUGGAAACUAGACUUGAAGACCUUUAAUAUGGCAUGUAGUAGACUUUCUAUCUCCUUAUAGAUUGGAUUUAUUUUUUUUUUGAUCAGGUAAACAUAUUUUCAUUCAAUAGACUGGAAGAUAUACUCGUUCCAAGUCUGUCCAUAUACAGGAUUAUUUGAAAUACUCCGACGUAAUGAAACCUUAAACUUUUGUUUCAAGGCUUCCUUUGGCCUCUAACUUCAGUCUUAUACUUCAAGUGACUUAAUAUAAGUGUUCCUUGUAUGAUUACCCAUUUGCAACUUUAUUCUCCCGAUUUCACACGGAUUUGUUGGCGAUUACGGCACACAUAUUUUAAGUUAUGGGGUAUUACAAUAAUGUCAGCUCCAUGCUUAGUGUAGAUGACAUUCCUCCAUAGAGCUUCAGUUUCAUGGUUUAACCUCCACAAUCAGUUAGUCGUGUAAGCUUCUGUUGUGUUGCCUUAGGUUCUUGAUUCCCAGUCCUCCAUCUUUUCUGCCUGUAGUGAAUUUGGUCCAUUUGACUAGGUGGAAUGUCGUUUUCUCUUUGUUGCCCUCCCAUAUAAAGUUUCUUCUUAGCUGCUCCAAUAUCUUCUUGAUCUUUGCUGGCAAGGAUAACUGGGACAUAACUUAGGUUGGCAGGGAAUCCAACACACUGUUAAUUUUGAGAACUAGGAAUUCAAAAUUGGCUGAGUAAUUGGAGCUAUAAAUCAACUUUGUUUGGAUUUUUUGAGGAAUGUAUCGAGAGACGGAGAGAGAAUUGGAUUUGGUUAGACAAUGUGUGGUUGGUAAACAAGGAGUAAUCUGUGUUUCGUUGCAAUUACAUUUUAACAAUGUUCAGUGUGAGAUGUUGGAAUUAAUAUUGUCAUUAUUGGAUAUUUGAUGAUGAAAUUUGUAACGUUGAUGUUAUGAAUAGGAAUUUUAUAUAUUUUAGGUAAUUCUGUAUUUUCUAUAAAUUCUGUGUUUCACCUCGAAGAUGUGUGUACUAUGCUUCUCGCUUAAGCCCUGCAAGGCUUGUCAUUUUUAAAAUAUUUGUUUUUGCGCUCCCUCCCUUUGAAAUACUGUUUAGGCUCUCAAAAGAUCCUCAUGAACCACAAGCUUUACCUUUCCACUGCAAUCAAGAUAUACUUUUAGUAUCUAUUAUUGUAAAUAAUUAGUUGUCCGAGAUCUCACGUCAGCACUGCUUUGAUUCCCCUAAUUACAUACCUUUUUGUGAGUCCAAAGAUCAGAGUUAUUCCUUAGACAUAGUCAGGGCUAAAGGCCAAGCAUGUUUCUCUUUUAGUGGUAAAUUUAUUUAACUAAUUAGUGGUGGAUAACAUCUACUGAUAAAAAACAAGGUUGAUCUCUUGAUGACAAUUCUUCCAUUUUUUUUUGUAUAGAAACAAUUGUAAUGUGCAUUUAGAGCAUCUAUCAACAGAAGAGAAAACUUUUCUCCUUCACAACCAAUUUAGCAAUGUGGCAAAAGGCUGCUGUGAUUACCUUACAUUAUUACGAACUAUCAAAUAGAGUUUGGUGCAAGAAAAUUUUGGUGGCUUAGGAUAAUGUUCAAACUCUUGCAGAUUAAGCACGAGUGAGGCCAAAUAUGUGAUUAUAGUUGAGUGCAAAUAUGUGAUUGCGAAAAUCUUGCAGAUUAAGCAUGAGUGAGGCCAAAUAUGUGAUUAUAGGCCAAAAAGGAAAGGCUUGCUUAAGUCAAAAGCGCUAAAAGGAGGAGAAGACUAAGGGCUUAGAAUGUGGUUCUGCUUGCUUUAAUGUGGGUUGUUUGGGGAGAGAGAAAUAGGAGAGCUUUUGAAGGAGUACAGUCGAGUUUCUCUCAGUUGAGGAGUAG